GACGAACGCUGGCGGCGUGCUUAACACAUGCAAGUCGAACGGUGAAGCGCCUUCCUUGUUGGUGGGUGUGGAUGAGUGGCGAACGGGUGAGUAACACGUGAGUAACCUGCCCCCUUCUUCUGGAUAACCGCAUGAAAGUGUGGCUAAUACGGGAUAUUCUGGGUCUGUCGCAUGAUGGGUCUGGGACAGAUAUUGUUUCGGUGGUGGAUGGGCUCGCGGCCUAUCAGCUUGUUGGUGGGGUGAUGGCCUACCAAGGCGGUGACGGGUAGCCGGCCUGAGAGGGUGGACGGUCACACUGGGACUGAGACACGGCCCGGACUCCUACGGGAGGCAGCAGUGGGGAAUAUUGCACAAUGGGCGCAAGCCUGAUGCAGCGACGCCGCGUGAGGGAUGGAGGCCUUCGGGUUGUGAACCUCUUUCGCCAGUGAAGCAGGCCUGCCUCGUUUGUGGGUGGGUUGACGGUAGCUGGAUAAGAAGCGCCGGCUAACUACGUG
rnacentral:rRNA from 1 species